GACGUAGGGGGCCAGCGUUGUCCGGAAUUACUGGGCGUAAAGCGCGCGUAGGCGGCUUGGUUAGCGGUGGGUGCAAUUCCGGGGCUCAACUCCGGGACUGCUCGCCGAACUGCCAGGCUAGAGUACGGGAGAGGGCAGUGGAAUUCCCGGUGUAGCGGUGGAAUGCGUAAAUAUCGGGAAGAACGCCAGUGGCGAAGGCUGCUGCCUGGAACGCUACUGACGCUAAGGCGCGAAAGCUAGGGGAGCAAACGGGAUUAGAUACCCGUGUA
rnacentral:rRNA from 1 species